AUUGAACGCUGGCGGCAUGCCUUACACAUGCAAGUCGAACGGCAGCGCGGGAGCAAUCCUGGCGGCGAGUGGCGAACGGGUGAGUAAUACAUCGGAACGUGCCCAAUCGUGGGGGAUAACGCAGUGAAAGCUGUGCUAAUACCGCAUACGAUCUACGGAUGAAAGCAGGGGAUCGCAAGACCUUGCGCGAAUGGAGCGGCCGAUGGCAGAUUAGGUAGUUGGUGAGGUAAAGGCUCACCAAGCCUUCGAUCUGUAGCUGGUCUGAGAGGACGACCAGCCACACUGGGACUGAGACACGGCCCAGACUCCUACGGGAGGCAGCAGUGGGGAAUUUUGGACAAUGGGCGAAAGCCUGAUCCAGCCAUGCCGCGUGCAGGAUGAAGGCCUUCGGGUUGUAAACUGCUUUUGUACGGAACGAAACGGUCUUUUCUAAUAAAGAAGGCUAAUGACGGUACCGUAAGAAUAAGCACCGGCUAACUACGUG
rnacentral:rRNA from 1 species